rfam:Myotis davidii contig206539, whole genome shotgun sequence.
GACAAUUCUUGGGUGAUGCACCCUGGAAUCGGGCUUCCUCUGGUUCCAGGUCUGUCACCAGAGAACCGCA